UACGUAGGUGGCAAGCGUUAUCCGGAAUUAUUGGGCGUAAAGCGCGCGCAGGCGGUUUCUUAAGUCUGAUGUGAAAGCCCACGGCUCAACCGUGGAGGGUCAUUGGAAACUGGGGAACUUGAGUGCAGAAGAGAAAAGCGGGAAUUCCACGUGUAGCGGUGAAAUGCGUAGAGAUGUGGAGGAACACCAGUGGCGAAGGCGGCUUUUUGGUCUGUAACUGACGCUGAGGCGCGAAAGCGUGGGGAGCAAACAGGG
rnacentral:rRNA from 1 species